GACGAACGCUGGCGGCGUGCUUAACACAUGCAAGUCGAACGAUGACGACCGAGCUUGCUCGGUCUGAUUAGUGGCGAACGGGUGAGUAACACGUGAGCAACCUGCCCUUCACUCUGGGAUAACCUCGGGAAAUCGGGGCUAGUACCGGAUAUGAGCUCCUGUCGCAUGGCGGGUGUUGGAAAGUUUUUCGGUGAAGGAUGGGCUCGCGGCCUAUCAGUUUGUUGGUGAGGUAGUGGCUCACCAAGGCGAUGACGGGUAGCCGGCCUGAGAGGGCGACCGGCCACACUGGGACUGAGACACGGCCCAGACUCCUACGGGAGGCAGCAGUGGGGAAUAUUGCACAAUGGGCGAAAGCCUGAUGCAGCGACGCCGCGUGAGGGAUGACGGCCUUCGGGUUGUAAACCUCUUUCAGCAGGGAAGAAGCGAAAGUGACGGUACCUGCAGAAGAAGCGCCGGCUAACUACGUG
rnacentral:rRNA from 1 species